rnacentral:rRNA from 1 species
UACGUAGGGUGCAAGCGUUGUCCGGAAUUAUUGGGCGUAAAGAGCUCGUAGGCGGUCUGUCGCGUCUGCUGUGAAAACUCAGGGCUUAACCCUGAGCCUGCUUCCGAUACGGGCAGACUAGAGGUAUGCAGGGAGAAUGGAAUUCCUGGUGUAGCGGUGAAAUGCGCAGAAUAUCAGGAGGAACACCGGUGGCGAAGGCGGUCGAUCUGGGCGAUUACCUGACGCUGAGGACGAA